rnacentral:rRNA from 1 species
UACAGAGGUGGCAAGCGUUGUUCGGAAUUACUGGGCGUAAAGGGCGCGUAGGCGGCUUGGUCAGUCCCGUGUGAAAUCCCUCGGCUCAACUGAGGAACUGCACGGGAACUGCCUGGCUUGAGUUCGGGAGAGGGAAGCGGAAUUCCGGGUGUAGCGGUGAAAUGCGUAGAUAUCCGGAGGAACACCGGUGGCGAAGGCGGCUUCCUGGACCGACACUGACGCUGAGGCGCGAAAGCUAGGGGAGCAAACGGG